rnacentral:lncRNA from 1 species
AGUGAGUCCCGCUUCUUGCCGCCCUGGGCGGCGUCGCACGCUACAGGGGUCUCGGUGCCUCCGCCACUCAUCCCGACCAGUUCCGCCCACCCGCGGCGUCCACGGCGCAGGCACGGACCUUUAGGGAGAGAGACGCUCUGGUGUUACGUCAUCACAGGGCGUCGGAGUCGUUGGGUUCGGGGAAGGCGCCGGGAGUGUAGCCGAUGCGGCCAUGCUGGAUGAGGGCAGAUGAUCUGCGUAUGGGAGGUGUUUGAAAAUUACUUGUUUCUCGGUUAUCCCAUCCUACGCCGGUAGGAACUAAACUCACUAUGGUUGGAGCAAGGCGCGGCGAGCAGAAGAAUAACAGUAGUAGUAUAUACAUAGUUUCUACAUUGUUACUGGCCACCACUAUUUUAUAAAGCAUUUUGACAUGUAUUGUCACCUUAGGGUCAUCAUAGCAACCUGAGGAGACAGAUCAUAAUUUUUUUAACAAAUAAAGCAACACGGUUAGAGGUUAAGAAACUCGUUUUUGUUUUGUUUAGGUUUUUUGUUGUUGCUUGGUUGGGUGUUUGAGAUGGUCUCCCUAAAUUAGACUAAUAAGUGCUGACAUUUGAUAUAUUCCAUAAUGUUCAUUUUCUCAACAAAUUGUCAUGCUUCAAAGAGAGCAAUGCACGGCCUCCCAGUGGUUUUUACCUCCUCAUCAUCCAGGGGUUCUUCCUUAGGACUCAGCUGUGACCGCUUCCUCCGCUACUCUCUUCUGAACAAUGAACAAUGUCAUCCUAAAGGGUCUUAGUCCAGUCUGAAGGAGGAACGUAAAGCGACAUAAACGGCAGGAAGAGGAAUCGUUCCAUACCUGUGGAUACUAGCUGUUGAGGGGAUCAGGAAAGACUUCCCAGAAAAGACCAGUGUUUGUCUCCAGUCUUGAAGUGAGACAUGGAGAGAAUAACUAGGUGAAGCAGGAAUUGGGGGAUUAUCGCAGAAGAAAUGGUAAACCCCCAAAGGAGGACAAAUAAAAAAUUUAAUUUCCUAGCUUUUUAAUCAAUAUGUAGAAAUCAUAGUUUUCAAAGACAUUUGUUAUUCUCCUCACUUCCAAGAAAUUUCAUAUUCAUUUUUCUGCAUUGUAGAAAAAAAUUUCUUUCCCUUUGCAUAAUUUCCUUUAUGACUGUGCACCAUGAAGACUCACUACAAUAUGUGAAAUUGAAUGCUUUUCUUACAUUAAUGUGGCUGUUUGUUUUUUUUUUUAAAUGUUGAUUCUGGAUUUCACCUCUGAAAUUUGCCAACUCUGUGUUGUGAUAAAGAAAUUCUAGUUGCCAUAAUUAACACUUUGGAAAUAGAAUUGGGUCUUCAGAUAGUUUCCAAUAAAGCGUCAGCGAAGGCAAAGAAGCCGGAACCUGAGCUCUCUGGAUCCCAGCAUUCCUGCCCUCCGGCAAGGACAUUCUUGGAAGCACGGCUUGGGAAUUCCUGCUCUAUUUCACCAGUUUCUACUUCCUGUUCUCACCAAUACAUUGUUACUUCUGGAAUAGCAACAAGAAGACAAGGCCAGUACUCAGUACCGAUUUGCAGUUACGGCUGACUUAUGAUACCUGUCAUCAACAAUGUGACAUUUAAAAAAUACUUUCUAUGACUGAAUCUGCGAACACAGACUCGAACAAGGGCUGACUUAGGAAAAUCUCCAUUUUCAGAUGAAGAGACCUAAGGUCAGAAGGGCCACAGCAGUUCCUGCCUUCUCAGUAGAGACAUGCCACAUGAUGGAUUGUGAGGAUUAAUGUCAUGUUUUAAGUUUAAAUUACUGUGCUUAAAACAUUAGAAUUAUAAAACAAAAAGGCCUGUAAGCCUCCCUUGCCCAAGGAAUAACUUCCAGAAAUAACUUCCUGGAAUCCUUGGGGCUGUUAUCCAUGUAAGAUAACAAAUCACGUUUUGCUUCUUCCAACAAGCCUAAUUACCCAAACUGCACAGGCUAUGCUUGAUCACACAUAGGUGGGAGGUGUAUAGACAGUAAGUCCGUCAGAAUAGAUGUUUGCUCCUAACCGUACACAGCCCUGUGGGUUUUGCUUUUAUAAGCCUCUGACUAAGGUAAUUCACUAACAUUCUCUAGGCAUCCCUGGUAUGGACCGGCCCAGUGUCCAUUAUCCUGGCCAGUAUUAUAAUAAAACUAGCCUCAAAUUUU